rnacentral:rRNA from 1 species
AGCAGCCGCGGUAAUUCCAGCUCCAAUAGCGUAUAUUAAAGUUGUUGCAGUUAAAAAGCUCGUAGUUGAACUUCGGGGUUUACCCAUUGGUCAGGCUUAAUUGUCUGUACUGGUGAGAUGAAUCUCUACCUUCUGAGGAACUUUCAUGCCAUUUAUUUGGUGUGAUGGGAAAUCAGGACUGUUACUUUGAAAAAAUUAGAGUGUUUAAAGCAGGCUAACGUCUGAAUACAUUAGCAUGGAAUAAUGAAAUAGGACGGACUGAUUCUAUUUCGUUGGUUUCUAGGAUCACCGUAAUGAUUAAUAGGGAUAGUUGGGGGCAUUAGUAUUCAAUUGUCAGAGGUGAAAUUCUUGGAUUUAUUGAAGACUAACUACUGCGAAAGCAUUUGCCAAGGAUGUUUUCAUUAAUCAAGAACGAAAGUUAGGGGAUCGAAGACGAUCAGAUACCGUCGUAGUCUUAACCAUAAACUAUAGCCGACUAGGGAUCGGACGAAGUUAAUUUUAUAAUGACGCGUUCGG